rnacentral:rRNA from 1 species
UAGGGAAUAUUGCACAAUGGGGGAAACCCUGAUGCAGCGACGCCGCGUGAAGGAAGAAGUAUCUCGGUAUGUAAACUUCUAUCAGCAGGGAAGACAAUGACGGUACCUGACUAAGAAGCCCCGGCUAACUACGUGCCAGCAGCCGCGGUAAUACGUAGGGGGCAAGCGUUAUCCGGAUUUACUGGGUGUAAAGGGAGCGUAGACGGAUCUGCAAGUCUGGAGUGAAAGCCCGGGGCUCAACCCCGGGACUGCUUUGGAAACUGUGGAUCUAGAGUGCCGGAGAGGUAAGCGGAAUUCCUAGUGUAGCGGUGAAAUGCGUAGAUAUCGCGCAGAACUCCGAUUGCGAAGGCAGCCUACCGGCUCCAGACUGACGCUGAGGCACGAAAGCGUGGUAUCGAACAGGAUUAGAUACC